AGCCAUAGGCGGCAGGCUGAGAAAAACAGGCAUGAGUGACCAAGGUGGUAAAAGCGGUUAAAAAAAAAAAAAAAAAAAAACAGAACCCUGCUCUGCCUGCCUCAGCGGUCUCUGAAAGACCUUGCCCAAAGACAAACCAACCAGCCUGGUUCAUCAAUGACAAGAGUGACUGAGGUUGGACAACAGCGGCAACUCGGGCGGAGUUUGAACUGGACACACAGGGAGGCAGUGCUCUGGCGGGGCAGUACAAGGCAGCGAUGGAAACAAGACACAGAUGUCUUGGCUCUGACCCUGCGGCGCCCCAGAUCCUAGGCUGACCUGUGACCCCGCAGCCCCUGCCCACCCCCAUCCAACACCACCACCCCGUCCUUAGAGAUCGCGCAGCCGGCGCGCUCGAGGAGGGAGGAAAGUCCCGCCGGACCCACUCACGGCGCCGCGGAACCCCCGAAGCUGACCACGUGCACGAAGGCGGAAGCGGGCAACGUUGGAAGGCGGCCGAAGGCGGACAAAAGUCUUUCUGGGACGCGCCUAGCGGGGUGGACCCAGUGGGUGGGGCUUCCCACCAGGAUCCAAGCCAGUCUAGAUGCCGUUUUCCAGAGAGGGGAAAGGCUCUACGUCGGCGUGGCUUGAAAAGUGAAACAACCUCAUUAAAAUGUGCAGGUUAGGAAUGCACCAGGGAGCCACUCAGCAGGUAAUAACUGCAGAUGCAUAGAUAGUCCCAGCACCGACUCAGUGCUACUGAGCAGGCCCUUGCCUGGCCCAUGGCACCAACCCUGGCAUUGGGAGGUCACAGAUGCUCUCGCAGUUACACCACUGGCUUUGUGGUGUGUGGACCAAGUUUCCCAGCAUUUGUUAUUUCCAGAAGCUGCUCCAAUUUCCGGACGCUGUUGUGUUUAAUGACAUAAAACCUUCUCAUUAUGUAGCCCUGACCCGCCUGGAAAUCUCUCUCAUAUAUAUCCUCCCAGAUGCUGGGAUUAAAGGUGUGUACCACC
ensembl:lincRNA Gm26515 predicted gene, 26515